CGCGGACAACUCAGCCGGCGGCGACGCUGGAAGUAGGCUCCGAGGUUGGGCUCAAAGUUGGCCGCAGGGGAGAGAGAGAUCCGGAAGUAAUAAGCUUCCUAGCUAUGGCGAACUGGGAGGCUGGAUCAAGUAGUGACGCUGUGCGAGCAUCAGGGGGUGAGUAUCAAGUGUUCCUGAAUUUCAGAGGACCCGACACUCGUUAUGGAUUCACGGACUUCCUCUACCACAGCUUGGUAGAUGCGGGAGUCCGCGUGUUUAAGGACGAAGAAGAACUCCGCGUCGGUGAAGUGAUUGGUGGGAACCUUUAUGUGCUAUCAACAACUCUAAGAUCUACAUACCCAUCUUCUCUCGGAAUUAUGCUUCUAGCAAAUGGUGCCUCCGUGAGCUUGCGCACAUAGUAGACAGCACAUCUAAGUCAGAGGGCAAAAAAGUAUCCUUCCCAUUUUUUCGAUGUGGAACCUGAGGACGUUAAACUUAAGACUCAACAAUAUAGCGAUGCUUUACUUGAACACGCGAACAAGUUUCCUGAUGAAGUCGAGGCAUGGAGAAAGGCUCUUGCAGAAGUUGAUGAAAUUAAGGGAUGGAAUGUGAAAAAGGACCAAAGCCAAGCAUCGAUUAUCAAAUUGGUUGUUAAAAGGUUUUGGAGAAACUAGAGCUAAAACAAAAAUCAGUGUCUGGACAUUUAGUCGGACUUGAUGAUAGGGUAAAGCACUUGAUAGAGUUAUUAGAUGUCAACCAUUGAUGUGCGGCUCAUUGGAAUUUAUGGAAUGGGUGGCAUUGGUAAAACAACUAUUGCCAAAGUUGUCUUCAAUGAACUAUCUUCCCACUUUGGAAAGUGUUCUAGUUUUCUUGAGAACGUUCGAGAAAGCAUGUUGACUGAGGAUGGCAUAGUCCAAUUGCAGAAAAAAUUACUGUUUGACAUUGUUAAUUCUGAAUGUGCGAAGGAGUCAAGAAUAGUGAACAAGGAAUGCGAAGGAUUGGAGAAACACUAUGUACUAACAAGGUCCUUGUGGUUUUGGAUGAUGUUGAUAAUAAAGAGCACAUUAAGAAACUUAUAGGAAAUAAUUCAUUACAUUCAGGAUCCAGAGAUAAUCAUUACAACUGAAACAUGACUAUUUUGCAAGUUGAGGGAUUAGAAGGUGAAAUUGUACCGUAUGAGAUGCUAAAGAUGGAUUUUGGCCUUGCACUUCAGCUUUUUUGUCGACAUGCCUUUGGUAGGGACUUUCCUUCAAAUGAUUAUCAUGGGCUU